rnacentral:pre_miRNA from 1 species
AAACUACUCCCUCCGUUUGGAAUUACUUGUCGUGAAAAUGGAUGUAUCUAGAUGUAUUUUAGUUUUAGAUACAUCCAUUUUCGAGACAAGUAAUUCCGAACGGAGGGAGUAGUUA